AAAAAAACCGGCCAAGAGCAUGUCGGGCCACGCUCAGUGUAGGGUUCCGUAGUUACUCUUCCGUCACAAUAAGCUAAACUGGAGCUUAAAGUGUAGUAAAUGGUACCUUUCACCCGAGUUAAACAAAUAGGCAAAUUUGCAUAAUCAGUACGUAAUUAAAGUAAGUCUUUUUACUAUGAAGGGAAAACUUUUUGCGAUAACUCAAAAACAGCUAAACUGAUCAUGUCCGCUAUAGUUUUCAUUUAAUGUCUUUCUUAAGCUCUACUUCCACGAUUUUUUUCAUAUUUUUUGGACCUAUGGUUCAAAAGUUAGAGGGGGGGGGGACACAUUUUUUUUCUUUCGGAGCGAUUAUGUCCGAAUAUAUUCACUUUAUCAAAAAAUGUUUCUUGAAAACCCCUAUUAGUUUUGAAAGACCUUUCCAACGAUACCCCACACUUUAGGGUUGAAGCGAAAAAAAAAAUCAGCCCCACUUUACGUGUACCCUAAAAAAAAUUAAAUUUCUAGAUUUUAUUGUACGACUUUGUCGGCUUUAUUGAUUUAUAUAUCCAUGCCAAAUUUCAGCUUUCUAGCACUAACAACCACGGAGCGAAGCCUCGGACGGACAGACAGACAGACAGACAGACAGACGGACAUGGCGAAACUAUAAGGGUUCCUAGUUGACUACGGAACCCUAAAAAUGAAAAACCUGAACGUAGUUUGAUGGUAAAAAGGCCCAAGAGCAUUGCCAUCAUUUCUUAUAGUUCCGAAAAUCCCCAGCAGCUGCAAAUGCAACAGUAUAUUUAAUUAUGAAUAAUUCACCUGUUAAAGUUUACAUUGCCAGAUUUCUGCAGCGUGUGUAAUAUUGGGUACUCGACUCUAAUUUACAUUUUUAUAUAGUUUAAUAGCUUUUACGGGAACAAUAGGAUGCGAGCAGUUGUGUCAGUGCCGUUUAACUAGAUUUAUCCUAACUUUUAUAUUCCCUAUUUUUUUAUGCAAUAUAAAAACUUAAUUAUUUUUAUCUGAUGUCAGAUAAAAAUAAGUAAUAUACAUAGGUACAGUCAAUAACCAUCAGAUUUCCAGUACUUACUUAAUCAAUAAAAAUGCCAUUUUACUGAAAGCUCUCGUUGGUAUGUUUAGUUAAGACAAAAUAUGAUGUAUUUUCUGCAGACAGUGCCAUAUUUCAUGUACGUUGUCUUACAUCUGACGACUUCAUUUAGCUUUUAUAUUAUGUGAGCGUAAAUAUGAAUAUUUCAAACUUAUUACGUUUUUCAAAUAUAGCUAUGAAUGGUAAUAUAACCCUUUUCUAUUUUUUCUAGGCAUGGUACGAGUUAUCGACCACCACACGCUAAUAGAAUUUCAAAUUUAGCAUUUAAAUUGCACUUUCGCGAAAUGAAUAAUCAAAGAUAUAUAUUUGGAUUUUUUGGGAAAACUUUCUACAUUUGUGCAGUACUUACCUAUAUAGAAAAGGGUUACAGUUUACCGUCUCGAUGAAAUAAUUACAACCACUGGAAAAUUUGACAGUGUUACAAACGAGGAUAAAAGUUUUAUUUAGCAUAACACAUAUGUAAAUGAUAUAUCUGAAGUAAAACUACUUUUAAAUAGCCUCACGAUGUUUGAUGUCAACAUGUCAUCUAUAUUAACAGAACGCAGACUUCUGGAUGAGACUAGCCCAGGACCGGGAUAAGCCGCGUACACGAAGAGAGGCCUAUGCUCAACAGUGGGCGACCGGAGGCUAUAAUGACGAUGAGUUAUAUAAAUACGUUCAGUUAAUAUGGAGAACAUAUACCUAAUACAGUAAUGAUAGGCGUUUUUAGUGAACUACAUUUAACGAUAUGUAAUCUGCAGUGCACUACAUGCAGCUACCAUCUUGGAUCUUCUUCUAAAUGAAUGCCCUAAUAAUUGAGAAAAUAAGGCGAUACAAAGUUGUUCUUCAUUAACAUGCAUUUUACAUAUUAAGAUGAAUUUAUUUCAGAAGUACUGAUUUAUUAAAAAUAUAGGAUUUGUUUUAGCAAUUGUUUUGUUAUGAAAUGUUUACUUCAAAGUUCCAAGCUCCGUGGUUUCAAAUAGCACUACCCAACACUACCAAGUAUCUUGAUCUCUGACAGUAACUAUUCCAAAUGCGAAAUCAUAAAAGUUGGCGAGAUCGCAAGGUGACUAAAAUGUGACUAACAUAAAUUAUGUCCCUACCUAGUUUGUUACUAUAUUUUCAUAAACGGGACUUAAUUAGUGAAUUACGAGUAUUUAAUUUAUGUAGAUAUACUUUUUGAACAUACUGACGUUCAAGAUCACAGAAAGACUGAUAAGCGCGCGUUUUAACAUCUUUGACACUAAGGGCCACUUGCACCAUCACCAGUGUUACCAGUACAAUUUGACACUGAGUUAGCGGUUUAACCAGUUACACCUGGAGUUACCAGUGUUACCAGUACAAUUUAACACUCAGUUAACGGUUUAACCGGUUAAACCUGGAGUUACCAGUGUUACCAGUACAAUUUGACACUAAGUUAACGGUUUAACCGGUUAAACCUGGAGUUACCAGUGUUACCAGUACAAUUUGACACUAAGUUAACGGUUUAACCGGUUAAACCUGGAGUUACCAGAAUUACCAGUACAAUUUGACACUGGGUUAACAGUUUAAUGUGAUGCACGCUGCCUCAGACAAAUGUGCAGGCAACCAUAUUAAAUGUAUGGAACCGAUUGCCACUCUGAUGCGUCAUGACACAACACAACAUGACAUGUCAGACAAAUGUGUAACCGGCUUACGCCUCCGGAUCAAGUGCGGAUAGUCCGAAGAACGCGCAGGUAGAAUAGCUACGUAACCGUUUUGUCAGUCAGUCUUUCUGCAACAAAGAACAAAGCAAAGUUUAAAACAUCAGUAUGAUUAAAUAAUUCUAAGUUUACGUGAUUAAGUCCCGUAUAGGUACAAAUUAGAACCCGGCGACGUGUAGAGACCGUAGACGACAACUACGUACAGACUUCGUGUGGCGGCCUGUCGUAAUAUGAUCAUGGACAUAUCGCUGUGUUAAUUUCGAAUCUGACUGCUUACCGCAGCGCCGUAUUUAGUUGGUUCCAAUUGUUUCGUGACGUCAGCGGCACCACUGGGGGCCUACGGCGAAAACAGAAAUUCGCCAAUUGCGGGGAUCUUACCAUUUCGACCAUAGCCCAGGACUAUAAUCGCAAAAAUCGAGGUUCAUCAAUUGCGGGCAUUUUUCUCUGUCACUCUAAUUACGUCUUAGUGAGAGUAAAAGAGAAAGAUCCCAAUUUGCGAAUUCUGAUUUUCGCGGUAGGCCGGUGGUCUGCGCUCGGGCUCGGCGACGUGUAGCUGACUUCGUCUCGUUGAUCGUGGUUUGCAGUCGCCUUACGUCGCCGGGUUCCAACUUGUACCUUAAUGCGUAGUCCCGUCACACCAUCGUUCAUAUAGACUAAAUUUAAUGCAAUAGUUCAUCAGCAUCACUUACCACUCUGGAACUAAGGUUGUAACUCUAUAUUUAAAGUUUGAAGGCAAUCAUGUGUAGAUAUAGAUACUUAUAUGUUUUUACGUAAAGUUGUAGUUUAUGAUGUACAAACAGAUAGCUAAAGAUUUACGAAAUAAAUAGAAUCGCAUUUAA